rnacentral:rRNA from 1 species
CGAACUCUGGUAUUGAUUGGUGCUUGCAUCAUGAUUUACAUUUGAGUGAGUGGCGAACUGGUGAGUAACACGUGGGAAACCUGCCCAGAAGCGGGGGAUAACACCUGGAAACAGAUGCUAAUACCGCAUAACAACUUGGACCGCAUGGUCCGAGUUUGAAAGAUGGCUUCGGCUAUCACUUUUGGAUGGUCCCGCGGCGUAUUAGCUAGAUGGUGNGGUAACGGCUCACCAUGGCAAUGAUACGUAGCCGACCUGAGAGGGUAAUCGGCCACAUUGGGACUGAGACACGGCCCAAACUCCUACGGGAGGCAGCAGUAGGGAAUCUUCCACAAUGGACGAAAGUCUGAUGGAGCAACGCCGCGUGAGUGAAGAAGGGUUUCGGCUCGUAAAACUCUGUUGUUAAAGAAGAACAUAUCUGAGAGUAACUGUUCAGGUAUUGACGGUAUUUAACCAGAAAGCCACGGCUAACUACGUGCCAGCAGCCGCGGUAAUACGUAGGUGGCAAGCGUUGUCCGGAUUUAUUGGGCGUAAAGCGAGCGCAGGCGGUUUUUUAAGUCUGAUGUGAAAGCCUUCGGCUCAACCGAAGAAGUGCAUCGGAAACUGGGAAACUUGAGUGCAGAAGAGGACAGUGGAACUCCAUGUGUAGCGGUGAAAUGCGUAGAUAUAUGGAAGAACACCAGUGGCGAAGGCGGCUGUCUGGUCUGUAACUGACGCUGAGGCUCGAAAGUAUGGGUAGCAAACAGGAUUAGAUACCCUGGUAGUCCAUACCGUAAACGAUGAAUGCUAAGUGUUGGAGGGUUUCCGCCCUUCAGUGCUGCAGCUAACGCAUUAAGCAUUCCGCCUGGGGAGUACGGCCGCAAGGCUGAAACUCAAAGGAAUUGACGGGGGCCCGCACAAGCGGUGGAGCAUGUGGUUUAAUUCGAAGCUACGCGAAGAACCUUACCAGGUCUUGACAUACUAUGCAAAUCUAAGAGAUUAGACGUUCCCUUCGGGGACAUGGAUACAGGUGAUGCAUGGAUGUCGUCAGCUCGUGUCGUGAGAUGUUGGGUUAAGUCCCGCAACGAGCGCAACCCUUAUUAUCAGUUGCCAGCAUUAAGUUGGGCACUCUGGUGAGACUGCCGGUGACAAACCGGAGAAAGGUGGCGAUGAAGUCAAAUCAUCAUGCCCCUUAUGACCUGGGCUACACACGUGCUACAAUGGAUGGUACAACGAGUUGCGAACUCGCGAGAGUAAGCUAAUCUCUUAAAGCCAUUCUCAGUUCGGAUUGUAGGCUGCAACUCGCCUACAUGAAGUCGGAAUCGCUAGUAAUCGCGGAUCAGCAUGCCGCGGUGAAUACGUUCCCGGGCCUUGUACACACCGCCCGUCACACCAUGAGAGUUUGUAACACCCAAAGUCGGUGGGGUAACCUUUUAGGAACCAGC